GCAAUCGACCAUAGGAUUUUAUUGAGAAAACAGCACUUCCCGUCCGCUCAGUGGUACUUAAGCUCAAUGCCGGUCAGCUAGUAGCAACGUGGGUGACCAGUUGCGAAUCCUGACUGUCGAUUGUU
rfam:Exophiala dermatitidis NIH/TT8656 unplaced genomic scaffold supercont1.4, whole genome shotgun sequence.